UUAUAAUAUAUUUUAUAAACGUAUUGACAGAAGAUCUGAGGAUUUAAAGACUUGUGCAGAUUCAAUAAACUCUUCUGGCAAAUCACCUAUUAUGAAAGAAUUCCUAGCUGGCCACAACAAGAAGACAUGCGAUAAUGGGAGCAGGGACCCACUUCUGUAAUGUGGGUACACGAGGCUUCAUCUGAACGCCAUGUUCCUAACUGGAUCUGUGUGGCUCUGUUCACUUAUCUGUGAUCCCUUCCAACUCUACAGUGCUGUUUUCCCAUUAAGGGUCAACUGCAGCUGAAUUUAAAUUUCAGGUUGGCUCAGAUCAUCCUCUCUAGCUGUGUGAUCUUCCCAACCCGCCAUCUAUUCCACAGAGACAGCCCCUCUCUGUAGGGGAGCUGUGCCCAUCAAAGGGAGAAGCCGGUAUGUGAGGCUGGGUUGGAUGUGUGUUAUCUCUUUCCAGUCGAGCAUGGUAUAAUUGCAGUUUUCUGAGGGUCAUCACUGCCUGAAGUGGCCUAAAGAUGUCUUUUGUAAUUUAUUUCCUUGUUUAGCAUCAAGAGGACCUGAUGCCCCCAGAAGCCUGGAUUGCUGGAUAUGCAUGUUUCUGUGAUGUACACAUAUACUCACACAUUUAUAAAACUACUGGUAUAUGUUGUGCCCUUGGUUUUAUUCUCUGUGUAUUUGAACUUUAUAAUAAAAAUACUUUUCACUGUG